ensembl:lncRNA
UAAUGAAUGACAUUGUACACCUAUAUGGAAACGUUUCGUGCAGUGCUAUAGGCCACCAGAGGGGACUUGAGUAUGAAAAAAGGUGUUGUUUGUGAAUGAAUGAAUGACUAUUAGCUUAGAAGGAACGCACAAACACAAACACAAACUAUAUCUAAAUGCUUAAUUAAAUAUUUUGGUAUUUGCUCUGGGAUUGAUUUUUGGGCUGAAAUUUUACUCACAUUUGAAAUUUACUAUUAUUUGAAUGUUCUUCAAGGGCUGAGGGAAAGCAUGUCAACCAGUGUCUGAUGGUUCUUGCUUUAUAUGCAUCCAUCCACCUUGCUUAUGAGUUUGUUAACCAUCCUCAGGUGAUGGUUAAAAGACAGAGAAGUAGUAGAAUGUUGAGUUAAUGUACUCUGAUUCUGAAUGGAAAUCUGGCUACUGCAAAUCCAUUGUUUUUAGGCUCUAAUUUUAUUUUUAACUUUCUUUUGUCUCUUGAAAAGGCCGCUGAAAUGAGAAAAUUAGCUGAAAUCAGUUAUGUUAUGAAAUGCCAGCAGCAGUAAACCUGUACGUUCCUCCAGAAUCGUAAUACUGUAGCGGGGGACAAGAUUUGUUUGUUAUGUUAUAAACCUAAAACAAAUAGGACUUACUCCGACUCCUUUGGGAUAGGGCUGACCUAAACAUAUUAAUUAUUCCUGUUUCCUAAGGAGACAACAUAGGCUUUCCUUCAUUGGAUAAUCCUGCUUUCUCAGAAAACACAAAGACAUGUUCCAAUACCCAGUUAGCAGAGGCAGGCAGGAACUCUUUAGCGGUUAGAGAAGUGGCAGAAGGUUAAAUCAUCUGACUUGGAUGUUAUGUUGAUUGUUUAUUCAUAGUGUACAGUAACAUCUUAAAAAAAAAAGGAAGAAGCAGCAGCAAAGUGGGUGUAUUCAUGUCUGGAAAAACAGAGCUGACAAGUUAAAGACGAUCUGAAUGUCUUAAGGUGAGACCAAAGUGCUUCAUUUAUAAUGGAGAUUACGGUAAGGAACAAAUGAAGUUGUCUAAAUGUCUCUUGAGCCUUUAUUCUGGUUUGGCCACAAGUUAAUAUUGCAACCAGCACUUAACAACAAAAUGCAGGGUUGUAUUAUCUUUUAGGAAAUGCCAGUCAUGUGCAAUCCAAACAGGUCAAUUACCAGCAAUUCUCUGAAGAUCUCCUGAAACCUCAGAAGAGUUACAGAUGCCAAGAUGAUGUCUAGGAUGCACAGAGGAGCAGAAAUAGGGCACAAAACAAUUUGCAGAAACGGAACUUAACCCUGAGAGGGAAGAACUACGCCUGAUUUCCAUUUCAUUAAAUAUUUAUGGAGACACAUACAUACAAUGUGAUUCUAAAUUAUAGAAAAAACAUGAAUGGAACUGGUUCUGUCUCACUCACACUUAGGUUUAACGUCUUUCUUUCAACAGAGAGCCAUUGCCAAAAUCAAGAUGCUGGGGAACAUCAAUUUACUGGGAGAAAGUAGCAAGCUUGACUUAUUCAUGAAUCUAUCUGCAGAAGUGCAUUAAAAAAGUUUUAGAAAAAAAAGACAGAACUAAGAAACAAGUACAUUUUUUCUGCUACUCAUGUCUUACACAUUUUAAAAUGAACAGCUUACCUGGAAUCAGAACAUUGAAAAUAAAAAUGUCUGUAGGUAAGCACACGUAGGUAGGCGUAGGUACGUUGUACUCCCACUCACAUAAGCACAUACUUGGGUGCCUGAACCUAGCAGAGAAGAGCACAUAACCUGAACUAUAUAGUGCCAAAAGUAGACUAAGACAUGCACACACUGAACCAGAGUGCUCAAGCUUACACCUAUGGAAAUAGGAAUUUGCUUACUUAAAAUACAGUAUGUCUCCCAAAAAUGAAAAUAUAACUCUAAAUAAGUAUACAUUUCUAAGCCAUAAGAGGACUGGUAGGGAGCAGAAAUCAUAUCUAUCAUUUUCCUUUUCUGAACUAUUUCCUUGUAUGGCCUGUUUUUUUUUAAAUAACUCAGAGAGAGAUGAGCAGCAGAAAUCAUGCCUUCUUGUACAUACACUCAAAAACAACUGGAAAUCUGGUUCCUGGCUUAGGUGUGUGACACGUGUAUGUACUAACAUCACACAGGCUUUCACAUACCCUGCCCCCAACACUCCUCUGUUUCCAAGUGUCUGUGUUUCAUUAUGCACCCUUGCUGAAAGUGAUGGCAAACAACUAUGCAGAAAAAAAGUAUUAAAAAACAAACAAACAAACAAACAAAAAACAGGAAGAUCAGUUGUUAAGAGAUAAAUUUAAAGCCAAUAUUACCUUUUGGAAUCACAGUUAAUCAAAUGCUGUACAUGAAAGAGCAAAGGCCAGAUUCCGUUCAGAUUUUAGCACUACUAAGAAUCUGAAAAAAAAUUGUUGUUACCCCAUUUGUGAGUGCCACAGAAGAUUCUGCCAUUUUUCCUGCAAUAGAAUGGCACGAAAUAAUACAUCUUUGAAUUCCAAGAGCUUGUUUCUUAUUGCAGAUUCUCAUUUCACAACUAAGAUGAGCUGAACUCUUCACCUGCUCCCCAAAGGGAGAGGGGGUGCCCUGCAAGCAGCCAGAUGGCUCCUGAGGAAGGUCACCAGAAAUGUUCGUGCCUACAUAUUUUUGCACAAACUGCUUCCGAGCCGCUCUCCCACUCUUUUAAUAGGAAUUUUAUCACGUUUUUGAUUCUUGGCCAGUUUCAACGUGGCUGAAUUAAUUUCACAUGAAAAAGCGUGGAAGCAGCGGUCUCAGUUCCCCUGGAUAAACACUGGGCUACGUGCUGCUUCUGUUUGACCAUUGGGAAGUCCGGCCAGGCAAGACAUAAAUCUUUUGUCAGUGAAAGGGGUACAUUAUCAGCUUCUCAGCUGUUUCUUUUCUAAACAGUUACCUGAGGUUUAAGAUAAAUAUUCCACAUGUUUAUUUUAAAUAUAUAUAUAUAAAUAACAAAAUGACCAGAGCACCGGAAUUACUUUCUCCCCUACAACCAUCCCUCCGAUUGCAAUUGGAUCUCAACCUCGUGCAGAUACCUGUGGUAACCUGAAAUGGUUGCCUGUUAGGAAUUCAAUAGAAGUUGAAUGUGAUAACCUUUUCUCACACUAAUUAGUUAACAAUCACUUACGGAAUGACUUACUUAUUAAGUGGCAGAAGAGGAAGCAUCACCUGGUCACGUAUAAAGGCAAAACCUUCACUAAAAUGAGAGCUUAAUAGUGUCAUAAAGAUGUAUGCGACCAGUGUGAGGAACUGGAGGCCACUGCUGGAAGCUGCUUUGGUACGUGAUGGGUUCAGAACUCGAAGUCUGAAAACUACAGCUCAGAACAAAUCCAUUUGAGUGAGUAGAAACAGAAAACUAACUAAAACCACAGUGUCUGUAGGAGCUGUAGAUAAGAUUAUAUAUAUCAUAUUGAGAGAGGUCCUCAGAGGAAAAUAACAAGAUCUCACUGUAAAAACAUCAGCUACAAUAACAAAGGGAAAAGGCUUGCAAGUGCAUAGAUCUUUUUAUAUACAAUUUUGGAAAACCAAACUGUGCCUCCAUCAUCUGUUGUAUUUUUGUUGCAGAAUGGGUUUUAACCCAUUUGUAUGGUUUUAGGAUCAAUAAACAUUAUCCAAGACAAGUAUAAAACAAGCAGCACCUCAUGCAGCACAUUCACUGGAAUUUCCAGUGUAUUUUUGCCAUUUUCUGCUGGGGUCACAGGUAGAGCGAUGGUUAGAAAACAAUAUGGCAGGAAACUCCUGAUGCUAAGCAUUUGAGUUACGUAUCACAGACAGCCUCAAAUUCUCUGACUUUUUAGAUUUAAAUCUUCUCAAAGUUUUCCUGAAGAUUUUGGCACAUUUUCUGCAAGAUAUGCAUGACAAAGACAGAAGAGUCAUGGAGGACUCACGCCCUCUGUUAUUGUUUAAAUGCUGACACUUAUGGUUUAAAUUUGCAAAGAACGAAUCAUUCUACAUCAAAACUAAGGUGCUGCAUGUUUAUUUACAGACCAAGCUCCAGUAGUAAUGUGUAUUCGUCAUGUGAACUGAUUUGAAUUGAAUUCUAAACCCUGUUUUGCACCAGGAAAACAUGAGCUUCAUUUUACUUGUCUCUGUUUUCAAUUAUAAUUUGACAAAAGAAAUAACUGCGCUACCUAUUUGAUUUGCCAGAACUUUAUCCCAGCACCACCUGUUGAGCCCUCGGCGCUCAAAUCCUGACAUAUAGCAGAGAACCAAAUUAUGCAGUUGGCACACUGACUAGUAAGGAUGCCAACAAAAGCAUAAUACAUCCUUUGUACUCAAAGUACAACAAAAUAUAUAUUAAGCUACCAACUGCAAAGGUUUCAGAAAACCACAUUUAAUUAUACAGGAACAUAUCUUUCCAACAAAUAACUCAGUAGAAAAAUGGCAUGGAAGUUAGAAAGGACGCUUCUUGUAUGAUUUGCACAGGUAAAUACUGCAAGCUUAAAAUAAAUGAAGUUUCACAAUACCUUAGUAGAUUUACGUUAGAGAUGGCAAGGGGAUAGCCAGCUAGUUUAUACAAACAGAUGUAUUCAAUGCUAUCAACUUCUCAGUUUAAAUAACAUGUCACACGUUCAUUUCUGGUGGGGUAGCUGACCGAGCACAGCAGAAGGACUCUUAGCACUCAUCCCAAUCAAAUCCCUUCUAUUGCCAGUGACUGGGGCUGAAGUAUUAAAAAUCAGCUGUGUUUCCAAAGUUUACUUCUUUAAAGCACCUCUUUGCCACAAAAGUCCUCACAAUUGCUUUCCUAGAAGAAGGAUAGGAUGGGUCAGUGGGGAUGAGGCAAAGCUGCCCCUUCAGGUCUGCAGAGGUCUCCUCCCUCGACCUGCUGGCCAUGCUCUUUUUAAUGUGCCCCAGGAUACCAUUGGCCUUUGUGGCCUCAAGGGCACACUGCUGACUCACAGCCAACCUGUUGACCACCAGUACACCCAGGACCUUCUCUGCACAUGUCUUUUCCAGCAGAUCAGCCCCAAACUGUACUGAUACAAGUGCUUAUUCCUCCUCAGGUGUAGGACUCUGCACUUGCCCUUGUUGAACCUCAUCACGAUCCCCUCUGCCCAACUCUGCAGCCUGCCCAGGUCUCACUGAACGACAGCACAACCGUCUGGUGUGUCAGCCACUCCCAGAUUUGUAUCAUCACACAACUUGCUGAGGAUGCUGUCCAUGCAUUCAUCCAGUUUACUGAUGAAGAUGUUCAACAAGACUGGACUCAGUACCGAUCCUGUGAAAACACCAACUAGGAUUGCGCUACUGAUCCUAACCCUCUGUGCUGUGCCAUCAGCCAGUUCUCAGUCUGCCUUACUGUCCAGUCAUCUGUUCCACAACUCCUAACUUCAACCAUGAGGAUGUUAUGGGAGAUAGUGUCAAAAGCCUCACUAAAGUCAAGGUAGACAACAUUCACUGCUCUCCUCUCAUCUAUCCAGCCAGUCACAACAUCACCCAAUAUUUUACUAGAUUAACUUUUGCAAUCUAAGCUAGUUAGAUGAUUAUUAUCACUGUAGACUCAUACAAGCCUAAAUGUACCUCCCAUCACCAAACAACUAUCUUCUUAGAUAUGAUUUUUGGACAGUACAUACACAACCAAGAAAGUGAAUGAACUCUGAAAGUGGAGCAUUUCAAACUGUAUCCAGAAAAAAGUAAGAAUAUUUUUGCAUAUGAAUUCGUUUAACCAGUACCUUGCAGUAACCAGCAUUCAGCAGAGGCUCCCCAUUUGAGGGUUCAACUUGACUGGCUGCAGCCUUGAGCGAUCUGACGUAGUGAGACCUUCUUUGAGCAGGGCGUGGAUUGAGGUGACAUCAAGAGUUCCUGUCCAGCCUGAAGUGUUCUGUGAUUCUAAAACUGACCUGAAGAAAUUAGAAAUAUUUUCCUUGAAGAUGCUAUUAAAUUAACAUUUAUGACAUUCAAUUUCAUUUCUUAUUUAUAUAAAAAAGGCUGAAACUUUGUAUUUGCUAUUUAUAAUUGUUUGUAGGUAAUAUUUUCAUAAUAAUUAUGUGCAAAAGAACUUAUUAUUAUUUAUUUAACUUUUGUUUAAGGUUUGAAUAAAACAGAAAAAGUAAAUUUAUUAAUCCAUAAGUGGCCAUACUAAAGCACACUGGGUGCCUCUGGUAUAAACCCCACUAUCCAAGGAGAGAUGUUCAGCUAAAACUCUAAAAUGGUGGUUUGAAACAUACGCUGAUAUCUUUAAUUCUUCUAUGCUGGAAAUGUAAAAUGACAAUUGCUAAUGAGAAAAACCUCCCUGCUAAGUUGUAAUAACAACUUUAAGAACACUUGCUAAGAGAUAGACCACAUUGAGGAAAGCCAAAUCUAGUUGAUCUCACCUUCUCAAUUUCAAAUAUCCUUUGUGGUAAUUACAUUUCAUUUAGAAAAAUAAGUCUGAAGGAAGUGCACGCAUGGCAGGUAGUUUGGCAUCGGCCACUUCUACAGUUCUCAGAUGUGUCGCAGCCAAGAAAAUGUUCCAGAAUUUAAUUCUUUUCAGAUAGUUGAGCUCAUGUAAACUUUACUCUUGAUGAGGACUACAGAUGAAAUAUCUGGAUGGUGUUCCAAAUAAGGCAUUAAAUGCCUCCUACAAUAGAACCCAUCACGUUCUCCCAAUUUCUCCCUUGUUUAAAGUAAUUACAAAUCAUGCUGUGGAACUCUGAUGAUGUUUAUGGAAAACAAGUAAGAAAAUUCAUUCCAGAAAAGCCUGAGUUGUUUUCUGCCUACCAUGGUUUCUCCAUCACACCCGUUCUUUGGCUGCAUUUCAAGUAGCCUCACAAAGACACAGAAAAGAUAAUGAAAAUUCUUGAACUCUUUCUUGUCUGCCAGAGGUGCAGGAAAGCUGCAGACACAUAGAUCAGCAUCCUCAGAGCUCUACCAGUGGUUUCUGUCCCUCCGAUGAGCUCUAGGAAACAUUAGGAACCCACCUGGACUGUCUGAGGUUAGUACUUCAGGUUUAAAUUGAAAUUUUUGCAUGUAAAACAGCCACAAAAGGUAUAUUACAGAGAGCUCUGCGAAAGGCAGCACCGUUUGAGACAAUCUUUGAGGUCUGCUCUGAGUAACCCGAAUACCUCAGAUAUAUACAGCCUUAUUGUCAUCCAACAUUAUUGCUGUUAGUCCCUUGUAUUAUCACAGAAGAUGGCAUUUACUGUUGAACUUAACAAAAUUAUUUUGAAGAAUUAAUAAUUCUGGAACUAAGCAUCCAUGGUUCUUACCUCAGCUUAGUCUGAAGCACUGCUCCAACUGGCUGCCUCUGUUUCGCAGCACGUUUCUCAUACUGAGUAUUCUCAUAGCACAGACGUAUCCUCUAGUUGAAACCAGUGACGUGGGGGAUCCUCUCACUUUAAGCCUGAGUCUACCUGUCACUGACUGAAGGGCACUGAGGUCAGUUGACUUAAAAAGACUAAUUUGUAAUCCGCGCCUGCUGAAGGGAUAAGUAAAUCCAAAGAGAGAGGCUCAUAAAUUCCCAGAAAGAUCUUGGUAUCAUAACAAUAGAUCUGACAGCACUCUAAAGUUUGGCCUCCGUCUUGACAAAGAGGAAUCACAACCAGUCUCGGUGUAGUUCCCCAGCAGGAGAUAGUUGUUAAAGUGCUGUCAAGCAGCCUGUGCCCUCCUCAUCUCAUGGCAACUUGGCAUCAACCCCUCUGCCAGCUUCCACCAACACUGAGAUAACAGCACACCUCCAAUAAUAGAUGUGGGAGAAAAGAAGAACAAGGUGUGCUUUCAUACUUUGCCAUUUACUUACCUGCAUCUCCUUUUUACAUCAUCAUUUAAGGAGAUACUUCCACAUAAGUGGUCUCAGGGCAGGGCACAGACCGGCGAUUUAUAAAAAAAUACCAGAAUUUGAAUAGGAUUCGAUUAAAAACUGCUGUAUGAGCUGAAUGCACUUCGGAAUUAAUCUUGGUGUACUUUUUUCUGAACCACCUAUUAAAGCUCUACAUCGAGAAUAAUAUUCACUACUGCCUUCUACUGAGUUUUUGCUGGAACUUGUCCUGUUCUGCUUCCUGCCCAUCAUAAUCACAUCAUCUCUCCUGCAACCAGAGCCUUUCAGUUCUGGAAACUGGCUGAGAUCGACCCAGUAAUGUGCACCCAAAGGAAAGUAAUUUCCUGCCUUGAAUAAGUUCUGCAUUCAGAAGAAUUUAAUGUCACUGUCAUCCUCAGAGCUGGCAGGAGGAGCCACCAGUUUGCUGACCAAGGCUGCCAGUGAGGCACACGCUGUGCUGAGGGGCGCUAGCAAGGGUGGUGAUUCCAUCUGGCAGCACCCAACGCUGCCUGUUUGUGUUGGCCCUUGCCCAUUUCAGCAGCUAUACGGCCUAGGCAAUCUCAGGAAUGGUCAUGAAAUUAUUACCUUAAAUUGUCUUCAAAGAGUAGUCCAGAUUUAUGAUUGUCUUAAAGCACAUAAACACAUUUGAGCACAUUUUACCCAUUUCAAGGGAUACGCAACACACAAGGGGAGUUUUUCCCUUCCUUCUUAGGGCUGUAAAAACAAAACCAGGACGCUUCUUGCCAAACUGGCUCAAAGUCUGCAUGGAUUUGGUUGGACAGAUACAGUGGAAAACUAUACCCAGUCUUUUGAGUACCGGCCUGUGCACCUCCUUACAUCUCAGUACUGUCAGCUUCUAAUGCAAGAUCUCCAGCAAAAGUUUGCUUUUGUUUGGAUUUCAUGUUUAAAAAAUAAACCGUAUGAAACUGGUUGUCAUUUUGGAUCUGUAAAACACAGCCAUUUUAUCUCACUGGAAACAGUAGCGGAGGAUUUCUGCUCUGCUCUUCUCGAUGACGCUCUCAUAGGGUUUUCCAUCCCC